AUGGGCAGGGACACCUUCCACUGUCCCAGGCUGCUCCAAGCCCUGUCCAACCUGGCCUUGGACACUGCCAGGGAUCCAGGGGCAGCCACAGCUGCUCUGGGCACCCUGGGCCAGGGCCUGCCCACCCUCCCAGACAGCAAUUCCUUCCCAAUAUCCCAUCCAGCCCUGCCCUCUGGCACUGGGAAGCCAUUCCCUGGGUCCUGUCCCUCCAUGCCUUGUCCCCAGUCCCUCUGCAGCUCUCCUGGAGCCCCUUUAGGCCCUGCCAGGGGCUCUGAGCUCUCCCUGGAGCCUUCUCUUGUGCAGCUGAACACCCCCAGCUGUCCCAGGCUGGCUGCAGAGCAGAGGGGCUCCAGCCCUGGAGCAUCUCGGUGGCCUCCUCUGGACUUGCUGCAGCAGCUCCAGGUCCUUGUGCUGUUGUUCCCCAGGGCUGGGGCAGCUCUGCAGGUGGGGUCUCACCUGAGCGGGGCAGAGGGGCAGAAUCCCCCUGCCCUGCUGCCCACGCUGGGGAUCAGCCCAGGGCACGGGGGGUUCAGGUCCAGCUCUCCCCCACAGCACCCCCAGGUCCUUCUCCCAGGGCUGCUCCAGCUGCUCAUCCCAGCCUGGAUUGAUCCCGGGGGUCACCUUGGCCCAAGUGCAGCUCCAGCACUUGGUCUUUUUCGAUAUAAUCAAUUCCAAGAAGCAAUUUACCCUCCCCUAUUUCCCGCACCCGAGAGCCCGGGCCGCGGGGCGGGCUCUGCCCUCACGGCCCCUCGCCGGCCUCGCCUGACGCCGCCGGGGGAGGUAGGCCGGGAGCGGGCCGGACCGGGCCGGGAGCGAGCCGGACCGGGCUGGGGCCGGGCCUGGAGCGGGGCUGGGGCCGGGCCUGGAGCAGGGCGGGCCUGGCCGAGCCCCGGUACCCCAUCCCCGAGUCCCCGGGCCCCGCUCUGUGUCCCGCAUGCCCCGAGCCCGGGCCGGGAAGCGCGGGCGGAGCCGGGGUUGGCUGAGGGGAGGUCGGUCCCGGCAGCGCCUAAAGGGGCUCCAGGAGAGCUGCAGAGGGACUGGGGCCAAGGCAAGGAGGGACAGGACCCAGGGAAUGGCUUCCCACUGCCAGGGGGCAGGGCUGGAUGGGAGAUUGGGAAGGAAUUGCUGUCUGGGAGGGUGGGCAGGCCCUGGCCCAGGGUGCCCAGAGCAGCUGUGGCUGCCCCCGGAUCCCUGGCAGUGUCCGAGGCCAGGCUGGAUGGGGCUUGGAGCAGCCUGGGACAGUGGAAGGUGUCCCUGCCCAUGGCAGGGGGUGGAAUGUAA
rnacentral:lncRNA from 13 species